GAGAUCGCCGGAGUAGCAACGUCACAACGCCGCUGGCGAGCUCUCCCUGAUGAACACAACAACUCACGCGAGUACUGGAACACACGGUCUUGUUUUUGGUGCUGCAAACUAGCAGCCUUUUAUAGACUCUGUUAACUGAAUAUAAAGACUCCAUUACAGACUCAUGGCCACCGGCCAUCCGAAAUGCACGCCAUGCCCCUCCAAUUCGUGCGCCAUCCCGCACGUCCAGGCAUGCCGUACCAUGCACUAGCUAAAGACCCGCUCCGGAGUGAACAUGCACACCUCGAGCUGAAAACAUGCACAACCUGACGACUCGGUCAUGCUCUGAACUAACAAACACCAAACCUGACAUUAAGCGAUCAAGAGUUAUUCUGACAAAUCUCCUCCUAAGUCUUGACUCGCUAGACUACUGACCUGAUUGGAGACCAAGCUUCAUGCAAAGCUCCUGGAACUUGAUUCUGCAGAGAGGCUUUGUGAGAAUAUCCCC
rnacentral:lncRNA from 1 species